CGUUUCCAGUUGAGAGAUGGCGGCCGCCGCAGGUAGAUCGCUCCUGCUGCUCCUUUCCUCCCGGGGCGGCGGCGGGGGCGCCGGCGGCUGCGGAGCGCUGACUGCUGGCUGCUUCCCCGGGCUGAGCGUCAGCCGCCACCGGCAGCAGCAGCACCACCGGACGGUCUUUCACUACCUUUCCUACAGUGGUUGGCAAGAUAUCGUUUCCACCUCACUCUCCAUGUACCAUGCCAGUGACAUCUUAGCUGCUAGAGUGUGGAGCUGGCCUGUGGGAGUCAAGUAUUGGUGAUGUGACGUGUUCACGCAGGGGAAACUUGAACAUUCUCAGGUUCACCAGAGGCUUUCUUCUUGGCAGAAUUUGGGAGUUGUUUAUUGCAGUACUGUUGUGCCCUCUGAUGAUGUGACAGUGGUGUAUCAAAAUGGGUUACCUGUGAUAUCUGUGAGGCUACCAUCCCGGCGUGAACGCUGCCAGUUCACACUCAAACCUAUCUCAGACUCUGUUGGUGUGUUUUUACGACAACUACAAGAAGAGGAUCGGGGGAUUGACAGAGUUGCGAUCUAUUCACCUGAUGGCGUUCGCGUCGCUGCCUCGACAGGGAUUGACCUCCUCCUCCUUGAUGACUUUAAGCUGGUCAUUAAUGACUUAACGUAUCAUGUGCGUCCGCCAAAGAGAGACCUCUUAAGCCACGAAAAUGCAGCAACACUGAAUGAUGUAAAGACACUAGUCCAGCAACUGUACACCACACUGUGCAUCGAGCAGCACCAGCUAAACAAGGAAAGGGAGCUUAUCGAAAGAUUAGAGGAUCUCAAAGAGCAAUUGGCGCCCCUGGAAAAGGUACGAAUCGAGAUUAGCAGAAAAGCCGAGAAGAGGACCACUUUGGUGCUAUGGGGUGGACUUGCCUACAUGGCCACACAGUUUGGCAUUUUGGCCCGGCUUACCUGGUGGGAAUAUUCCUGGGACAUCAUGGAACCAGUCACCUAUUUCAUCACUUAUGGAAGUGCCAUGGCAAUGUAUGCAUAUUUCGUAAUGACACGCCAGGAGUAUGUUUAUCCACAAGCCAGAGACAGACAAUACUUACUAUUUUUCCAUAAAGGAGCCAAAAAGUCACGUUUUGACCUAGAGAAAUAUAAUCAACUCAAGGAUGCAAUUGCUCAGGCAGAAAUGGACCUUAAGAGACUGAGAGACCCAUUACAAGUACAUCUGCCCCUCCGACAAAUUGGCGAAAAAGAUUGAUCUGCAAAGAGCCUCUGAAUCCUGGCAGAAAGAACACCUGUUUAUAACUAUUGCCUUUUUAAUUAAGUUUGCAGGUGGAAGCUGGGAGCCAUGUUGGGGUAGAGGGUUUUUACCUUUAAUUAAAAAACAAGAACUAAAAGGAUCUUAGGGAAGAAAAGAAUGUUAAAAAUCUGAGGAUCAGGCUUUGUGAAAUGUAAGCUCAAAGGGCUUAGUGAAUAUUGUCUUAAUCAAGCACAUCAGUUCCUGGAUGAAAAUGAUGCAUUAUAUAGAGAGAUUCAUAAAGAGAAAAUGUGCUGGGGUGUUCGUUUCUUACAUCUUUGCAGGGUCAGCAAAAUAGUAACACACCAGCACCCCACUCAGCUCUAAUUUUUUUUAUUUAACUUUUCUUAUUUUUGACAUAGGAGUAAAUAUACCAGAAAAGUAAAUCCUUAAGACAUGUGGGUGGCAGAUUCUGAGCCCAUGUCAUUAGUAUUCAUUUUAAAUUGGAUCCAGCCUCUACAAAGUUAACCAGGAAUCUCUCCUGCUUGUGCCCCUUUUCUGAUUACCCACACCUGUUGGUUAGACUAAUAUUAUCCAUAUGAUAAUUGGAACCAACGUAUGACUGUUUGAUAAUUGAUACUUUGGAUUAUCCCUUAUUAUCUUCUUAAAUGUCUGUAUAUUCCAGUGCUCUGGAUCAGUAUCUAGGAAUCAUUGGCAACACUGCAUGAGGUUUUUUUGUUUUGUUUUGUUUUUUACUAAUUAAUCUUUAAGAGGCAGAAUUUCCCUCCUUUAACUAUCUGAUUGAUAUUCCCUCCACAACUCAAAUCGGAGGGGGAGUGUUCAGCUGUAUUACUAAAUCAGAAAAAUGUAAGGUUUACAAAUUGGCUAAAAAUCAUGGCUUUGUAGCCAUUUCAGAACCAGAAUGAUUUUAUUGCUGUUAAUCUGCUUGUGUGACAGCAUUUUAGGCCACCCAGAUGGCGCUGCCUUGUCUGGAGGCUUUGUUAAUCUCAAAGGACACACAUUCACUUCCACAGUUUGUGAGCCCUCCCCUCUCCACCACUUCAGUAGCUGUAAAUCAAGUGUGUGGAUCUCAAAGGGUGCAAUUUAUCUUUAUACAGAAAUACAUUUCUAUGGCUUCUUUCAACCUACCCUCUUCACCCGAUUUUUUCUUAUCUUAAAUCGAGAGAAAGAAGCAUUUAUCUUAUACUCUAUCAAAAUAUUUUCUACCAUAUUUCCAGAUGACAUCUGCAUUUGAAGAAUCAAGAGAAUCUGUGUCUAAUAUUCUGUUUUUAAUUACUGUGGGGGCCGGAUCUAGAGGAUGAUGGGGCUUGCCACACAGUUGAUUGGCUUUUUUCUUUCACAUGAUUCAUCCCUUCUCAUUGUGACAAGGGAUUUCUUUCUCUCUUUCUUUCUCCUUUGGGAUUAUUGUGUAUGAAAGGAAAAAUUUUAAAUGACAAACCCAGAUUCCAGGUGCCUUGCAGAGGUUGAAGGCUAACCAGGAUUGCUGCUGCUGCUGCUCCUGCCACCACCCCUUCCACUGGCAUGAUGAAAUGAAAGGAUGCAUGUCUCUACUUCCCAACCCCUCCUCCCACUUCCUUCCCCUGCCCACCCCUAGUCAUUCAACCUCUUCCUUCAUUUAUUUUUGUUAAGUUGUGUGAAUUAUUUUUAAACCAUUUAUCCUGUUUGUGCGCAGGUUUUUAAAGAAGAAACAGCACAGUGCAAUGAGCAAAUCCUUUCAGGGUGUGUGGGAGGCAAGGGAGAGUGGAUGGACGUGGAGAAAAGUUCUUUAAACAAAUAGCAAAAUAUUGAACAUGUGUAAAAUCCUGUAUCAUUUAUGAAAUAUGUAUAAAAAGCAAUGUACCUUCUGGAACAAUAAAUACUUAUUCGAUUUUUGAA